UUUCUUAAAGAGCAAAAGCAUUGACAAAAAUUCACAUAGCAAUUAAAUACUUCCUGUCUACAAAUCUCAUCUGAAACAUUACUGCAAUUUUUUCCCCCACACACAUAAGUGGACACAGUUCAGAUUGUCUCCGGAGAGCUAGGUGUCAAGGCACACCCAAGCAAACCCAGCAUUUGGAAGGUUCAGGCAGGAGGAUCAGGAGUUCAAGACCAUGAUGGAGGGGAAGACACAGUCUCUUUCUGAUGGAGUCUCCAGAGAAUGAACUGGGGAAAGUUAGUCAACAGCUGUCAGAGGAGGCGAGCAAUGACAGGAAAUCUCUAGCUUAUUUACAAAGAAAUACAGGAAAUAAUACAGAGCAGACCAGGGAAGAGUCCUGUCCUGUACUUAAGUCUAACCCUCAUGGUAGGAUCCUGCAGAUGAACUUGGUGGGUAGGCAGCAGUCACAGACCUCCAUUUUUCUCCCCUGUUCUGAGAACAGGAGAGUGGCACCUCCCUUCUCUGCAGCACUGAGUACACGUCUAACACUCUGUAGAAACAUUAAACAAAACCGGAUAGGGCUGGGACACUCGGGUAUAACACAUGGAAACAUCUGCCAGGAGUAAGUGAGGGUGGCUUGGAUAAAAACUAUCAGAAGCAGUGUGUGAUGGCAAGAAUCAUGUACCUUAUUAGCAAAGUAGAAAAGGAAACAUUAGAAAGCAGAAGGGAAAAGUCCAGAAUUCAUAAAGGGGGUACUGUGGGCCUAGCGAGCACCCACACCGAAUAGAAGUGAUCAGAGCUAUGGUAAAGACAGAAGGAUCCUUAAAAAAAAAAUCCAUUGUGCUCCCAGUAACAGAUAUUUUAAUUCUAGAGAGAGGGAGCAAGAUAGACAAGAAUGUUACAAGCAGACAUAGCAGGAGAGAUAGUGGAAAACACUCUCCACUCAGUUCUCAACCAGAGCAGUUUUGUUUUUUUUUGUUUUUUGUUUUUCAAAGACCUCUACUGAGCUGGUGGUUUGUUAGCCCCAGCCCCUCCAGUAACCACUCUCUCAGGACAGUCAGAGCAUUGGAAUAUAUGCUGACACCUGGCCAGAUGGAAAACACAGGAAGGAAGAGGCUUUAAAUCAGUGCAGAUUUCAGUGUGGUAGAAUACUUGUCAGACCCAGAGUCUGCACAGACCAUUGACACGGGUUCCAUCCAGUUUAAGUGUGUGCUCACAAGAUGACAGGAAGAUCCUUAUAGAGGUCCAGUCAUGUUUCAAAAUGAGACUGUAGAAGACAUGUCCAGAGUGUCAGCAGCAUAUGAGAACUGACUCAUGGGGGGUGCCUAGUGGUGGAACCUCUACCUUCUGUGGUGUCAAACUGUGAAGGAUUGCCCAGGGGCACAGUAUACUCCCAAAGGCAUCAAGGCUGCAAGCAGCAAGCAGGUGAGACUUCAUUUUGUCUUUAUAUCCUACAGGACUGCCUGUCGCCCCAGCUCAUCUAACCCUCCUCAAUUUAUGAUACAUUUGGUUCGACAAGGCUGCUGUCUUGUCACAGCAGGCAAUGCAUUCAGCCCAGGGUAAGCCAGUUAUACAAGGACAUCACACUUCAUUUUUUUGUACCAGGUUUUACUCAUGUUUCGUACAUGAAUCAACCACCUACCAUGGUAAGAGAUAUCAAAACACUAGACAAAUGCAUAUCUUCAGUAAGGAAGUGUGACUUUGUAGUUCAGUGAAAAGAAAAGUUUAGUCAGUGAUGGAGAUUUCUAAGCCAGCCUCUGCUAAGAGAGGGAGAGAUGACAGGGAAGCAGACACAUGUCAGUGUAGGGAGGGCUCAGUGCUGUGGGCUGUCCUGGAGACAUUCCCUCCAGCAUGUCCCAGAGCCUCCUCUGUAUCUGGAACACAGCAACAAGCCUCUGGCAAAAAAGAUUUAAUCUAGGCAACAGCUGUCUUCACACCCAUUGUGUUCUGCAGGGAGGGAGCAACUGAGGUACAGGAAGUCUUUCUCAUUCUGUAUGACCAUUGCUUUCCAUUUCACGCCCUGCCAUGCAACAGCUACAGAGCUGGGAAGCUACCCCAUGCCACAGAUGCAAACUGUGGCACCAAGAUAAGAUCACCCUAAUAGAAGAUGCUCCUGUGAACACAGUUGUGGGAAAAGGAUGCUGCAACUACAUAGGACCCAAGAAAUGGUUGUGUUUCAGGCAUGCAGAUUGUGGGAAGCAAUAGAGAUCUUGGACUUGCUCUUCUACUACAGGCUGAGCAGAGAUGGUGAGUGUCAUCAGCUGGAUUACGAUAGACCAGCUAAACAGGAGUAUCUGAAAAAUGGCUUUGGCCCUUGAUCUGGCUGAGUCCUUA
rnacentral:lncRNA from 1 species